rnacentral:rRNA from 1 species
AACGCGAAGAACCUUACCUGGGCUCGAAAUGUAGUGGACCGGGGUAGAAAUAUCCCUUUCUAGCAAUAGACUGCUAUAUAGGUGCUGCAUGGCUGUCGUCAGCUCGUGUCGUGAGAUGUUGGGUUAAGUCCCGCAACGAGCGCAACCCUUAUCUUCAGUUGCUACCAUUUAGUUGAGCACUCUGACGAAACCGCCUCGGAUAACGGGGAGGAAGGUGGGGAUGACGUCAAGUCCUCAUGGCCUUUAUGUCCAGGGCUACACACGUGCUACAAUGGCCGGUACAAACCGCUGCAAACCCGCGAGGGGGAGCUAAUCGGAAAAAGCCGGCCUCAGUUCGGAUUGGAGUCUGCAACUCGACUCCAUGAAGCUGGAAUCGCUAGUAAUCGUGGAUCAGCAUGCCACGGUGAAUACGUUCCCGGGCCUUGUA